AUGCUAAGCUGGGACUGGAACACAGAUUUUCCCGAGACUAGAGUACUGGAAGGUACUACCAAGAGUAAGCUGCGAAACUAUUUGUGUGACUUUCUGGAUUCAAAGUUCAUAUUCUUCAGUGAAGAGGAGUCUGAAGGCAAGGAUGAAGACUCUGCUGAAGAGUUUGAAGAAUCUGAAAGCAAGCGAGAGGAUGACGAUGAAGAAAGAGGACGCAGAAAGGAUCGCCACUCAAAAGGCAGCUUCUUUUAGGAAGCCAGCUGAGAGACAUAGAAAGAAGUGGAUGGAGAAAGAAAAAAUGAAUUUAUUCUUCAAGGAUUUUACAGUUUUCAGUAACUCCAAACUACUGGUUUUGUUUCAUUGCAAAAAAUGACAUUGGCUGACAUCUGACCUUACUUUUUUUGCCUUUUAUAAAUACGUUUGAUAAUGUUUAUUCAUGUUAAAAAAUAUAUAAAAAUACAAAAAUAAAAGUUUGUUUGCAAUAAAUGAGCUGCA
rnacentral:lncRNA from 1 species